AUGGAACAGGCCGCGAGCGCGAGGGGCAUCAUGCCCACCACCGCGAGGAUCUUCCCCGCGCGGAUGGCCAGCACUGCCGCAGGCCCGCAUGCCAAACAAGAAGAAGCCACUGGAAAGCCCCAGGGCGCAACAACGCCGGAGCAGAACAAGAAGGCCGUGCCGAGCUACUGGGGCAUCAAGCCGCGGAAGCUCGUCGAGGACGACGGCACGGAGUGGUCGUGGUUCUCCUUCAGGCCGUGGGACACGUACCGGCCGGACACGUCCAUGGACGUGGCCAAGCACCACGAGCCGAGGGCGAUGGCGGACAAGGUGGCGUAA
rnacentral:rRNA from 1 species